GGCAUGUAGAUGUGUCGUAAGAACACCGGUGGCGAAGGCGGCUGUCUGGGCUGCAACUGACGCUGAGGCUCGAAAGCAUGGGGAGCAAACAGGAUUAGAUACCCUGGUAGUCCAUGCCGUAAACGAUGAGGGCUAAGUGUUGGGAGGCUUCCGCCGAUCAGUGCUAAAGCUAACGCAUUAAGCACUCCGCCUGGGGAGUACGACCGCAAGGUUGAAACUCAAAGGAAUUGACGGGGGCCCGCACAAGCGGUGGAGCAUGUGGUUUAAUUCGAAGCAACGCGAAGAACCUUACCAGGUCUUGACAUCUCGUGGAAAGCGUAAAAAAAAGGCGUUCCCUUCGGGGAAGAAAGGAGAGGGGGGGCGUGGGUGUCGCCAGCUCGUGUGGCGAGAGGUGGGGUUAAGACCCGCAAAGAGAGCAACCCUUGUGAUUAUUUGCCAGAAUUAAGUUGGGGACUCUAAAGAGAGAGCGGGGGAGAAAACGGAGGAGGGGGGGGAUGAGACGAAAUCUUCAUGUGCCUUAUGAGAUGGGC
rnacentral:rRNA from 1 species